GGGAAUGGAUGGGGACCUGGUGGCCCUUCUGGACUUCAAAUCCAGCAGUCCCGAUCCCCGGGACGGUGGGUUCGAUUCCCACACAUUCCC
rnacentral:tRNA from 1 species